UGUAUGUAUGUGUGAACAUAUGUUAUAUGUAUGAUGUAUGUAUGUAUCUAUAAUGCAUAUAGGACAGAGAAAUUACGCGAUCAAUUUGUACGGUCCGCGAAUGCAUAUUUUUAUGAUAAAUUACAUGUACAACUCGUACAACAGCUUUUGUUACUUGUCUAACAACACAGAAAGAAACGGGAGUUGUUUUUGUGUAAUAGAAUUACGCUAUCAAAGUGCAGGACCUAUUACGUAUUAUAACAAUAAUGAUGUCGAUGGCAAUGGUAAACGAUGGGGCGAUGAUGGUAACGAAAUGCGAUUACGAUAAACGAUAGUAAAAACGACGAUAACGCUGUUAAUAACGGUAUCAAUGAUAAUGGCAAUGUUAAAGUGGCGGCAAUGAGUAUAAUAGAACAUGAAAUAUGAAUCAUGGUACUGAUAUCGAUAAGAAUAGUAAUAACGAUAAUAAUAAGUUCGUAAUGAAAUAUACACAUACAUAAACACGUACAUCCUCCGAGAAACAACCACAGUAUGACUUACUUUUAAUGAUUAAUAUACUUCUUUUAACUCCUGAACCGUUUUAUGUGACUAACUACACAGUGGUGCA